ensembl:misc_RNA 7SK 7SK RNA
GGAUGUGAAGACAAUCUGGCUGCCACAUCUGUCACCUCAUUGAUCUCUGGAGUUGAAUCAGUUGAUCUGGCUGGCAAGGUAAGUGUCUCCUUCCUCCCUCACCACUCCCUGUAAGUGCCUCCCAAAGUGGCACUCUAUCGAAGACGAUGAGCAUCCCCAAUAAAGGAGGACCAUUCUCCAGUCAAGAGUGUACAAGUAGGUGUGCUUGCCUGCUAGAACCUAGAAAUAAGUUCUCAAAGAAUGAGAACUUAUUUUGGCAAACACAUGAAAACAAUUGGUGUCCAUGCAUAGUUUUCUCAUAAUAU